rfam:Gorilla gorilla gorilla genomic chromosome, chrX, whole genome shotgun sequence
GCUGGGCGUGGUGGCGCGCGCCUGUAAUCCCAGCUACUCAGGAGGCUGAGGCAGGAGAAUCGCUUGAACUCGGGACGCGAGGUUGUAGUGAGCCAAGAUCGCGUCACUGCAUUCCAGCCUGGGCGACAGAGCGAGACUCUGUCUCAA